rnacentral:rRNA from 1 species
GUGCCAGCAGCCGCGGUAACACGUAGGGUGCGAGCGUUGUCCGGAAUUAUUGGGCGUAAAGAGCUCGUAGGCGGUCUGUCGCGUCGGUCGUGAAAACCUGCAGCUUAACUGUGGGCUUGCGGUCGAUACGGGCAUGACUGGAGUUCGGCAGGGGAGACUGGAAUUCCUGGUGUAGCGGUGAAAUGCGCAGAUAUCAGGAGGAACACCGGUGGCGAAGGCGGGUCUCUGGGCCGAUACUGACGCUGAGGAGCGAAAGCGUGGGGAGCGAACAGGAUUAGAUACCCUGGUAGUCC